AAUAUGGUUGAUCCUGCCAGUAGUCAUAUGCUUGUCUUAAAGAUUAAGCCAUGCAUGUCUAAGUAUAAAUAGUAUACAGUGAAACUGCGAAUGGCUCAUUAGAACAGUUAUAGUUUAUUUGAUAGUGCAAAUUACAUGGAUAACCGUGGUAAUUCUAGAGCUAAUACAUGCGCAAAUACCGGACGCAAGAAUGGUAGCAUUUAUUAGAUUUAACCAUCACAUGGUGAAUCAUAGUAACUUAGCUGACCGCGUGUAUACGUGGUAAAUCAUUCAAGUUUCUGCCCUAUCAGCUUUCGAUGGUAGUGUAUUGGACUACCAUGGCAGUCACGGGUAACGGAGAAUUAGGGUUCGAUUCCGGAGAGGGAGCCUGAGAAACGGCUACCACAUCUAAGGAAGGCAGCAGGCGCGUAAAUUACCCAAUCCCGAUUCGGGGAGGUAGUGACAAGAAAUAGCAACUCGUGCGGGUUUCCGUUACGGGAUUGCAAUGAGAUAAGUCCAAAUCCGUAAACGAUUAACAAUUGGAGGGCAAGUCUGGUGCCAGCAGCCGCGGUAAUUCCAGCUCCAAUAGCGUAUACUUAAGUUGUUGCAGUUAAAAAGCUCGUAGUUGAAAUUCGAGUCAGUUACUAGUUGGCUCUUCGUCAAUUAGUUAAUUGAUUCUCCGUCUAUAAUCCCUUUUGCGCUUUAGGGUUGCAGCUGGGUGAGUAGACAAUUUACCUUGAAAAAAUUAGAGUGUUCCAGGCAGGUCUUCGCCGGAAUACAUUAGCAUGGAAUAAUGGAAUAGGACUUGGGUCUUUUGUUGGUUUUAGGACUUAAGUAAUGAUUAAUAGGGACAGAUGGGGGCAUUAGUAUUUAAUUGUCAGAGGUGAAAUUCUUGGAUUUAUUAAAGACUAACUUAUGCGAAAGCAUUUGCCAAGGAUGUUUUCAUUAAUCAAGAACGAAAGUUAGGGGAUCAAAGACGAUCAGAUACCGUCGUAGUCUUAACUAUAAACUAUACCGACUCGAGAUCGGAAGGGUAAUAUAUUAGUCCCUUUCGGCAUCGUAAGAGAAAUCAAAGUCUUUGGGUUCUGGGGGGAGUAUGGUCGCAAGGCUGAAACUUAAAGGAAUUGACGGAAGGGCACCACCAGGAGUGGAGCCUGCGGCUUAAUUUGACUCAACACGGGGAAACUUACCAGGUCAAAACAUGGAUGGGAUUGACAGAUUGAAAGCUCUUUCUUGAUUCUAUGGGUGGUGGUGCAUGGCCGUUCUUAGUUGGUGGAGUGAUUUGUCUGGUUAAUUCCGAUAACGAACGAGACCUUAACCUGCUAACUAGUUUGCUUCUGAACAAGAGGUAUAACUUCUUAGAGGGACUAUGUAUGUAAGUGCAUGGAAGUUUAAGGCAAUAACAGGUCUGUGAUGCCCCUAGACGUCCUGGGCCGCACGCGCGCUACACUGACACGUUCAGCGAGCUUAUUUACCUGUCCCGAAAGGGCACGGGAAAUCUUGUUAGGACGUGUCGUGCUGGGGAUAGAUCUUUGCAAUUAUAGAUCUUGAACGAGGAAUUCCUUGUAAGCACAGGUCAUCAGCCUGUGCUGAAUACGUCCCUGCCCUUUGUACACACCGCCCGUCGCUCCUACCGAUUUCGAGUGAUGUGGUGAACUAUCUGGACUGCAAGUGGGCUCGAACCAUUUGCGGGAAGUUUCGUAAACCUUAUCACUUAGAGGAAGGAGAAGUCGUAACAAGGUUUCCGUAGGUGAACCUGCAGAAGGAUCA
rnacentral:rRNA from 1 species